rnacentral:rRNA from 1 species
CCUACGGAGGGCAGCAGUGGGGAAUCUUGCGCAAUGCUCGUAAGAGUGACGCAGCGACGCCGCGUGAAUGACGAAGGCCUUCGGGUCGUAAAGUUCUUUCGACAGGGAAGAAAAUGCCUAUAAGUAACUGUGUAUGUAUUGACGGUACCUGUAUAAGCAGCCCCGGCUAACUCCGUGCCAGCUGCCGCGGUAAUACGGAGGGGGCGAGCGUUGUUCGGAGUUACUGGGCGUAAAGAGCGCGUAGGCGGUGUUGUAAGUCAUUAGUCAAAGACUAGAGCUCAACUUUAGUAAGGCUAGUGAUACUAUAAUACUAGAGUAUCAGAGAGGAUUGCAGAAUUCCUGGUGUAGCGGUGAAAUGCGUAGAUAUCAGGAGGAAUACCGUUAGCGAAGGCGGCAAUCUGGCUGGAAACUGACGCUGAGGUGCGAAAGCGUGGGUAGCAAACAGGAUUAGAUACCCUUGUAGUC